UGGGGAAUUUUGGACAAUGGGCGAAAGCCUGAUCCAGCCAUGCCGCGUGAGUGAAGAAGGCCUUCGGGUUGUAAAGCUCUUUUAGUCGGAAAGAAAGAGUUGCAAUGAAUAAUUGUGAUUUAUGACGGUACCGACAGAAAAAGCACCGGCUAACUACGUGCCAGCAGCCGCGGUAAUACGUAGGGUGCGAGCGUUAAUCGGAAUUACUGGGCGUAAAGGGUGCGCAGGCGGUCUUGCAAGUCAGAUGUGAAAGCCCCGGGCUUAACCGGGGAAUUGCGUUUGAAACUACAAGGCUAGAGUGCAGCAGAGGGGAGUGGAAUUCCAUGUGUAGCAGUGAAAUGCGUAGAGAUGUGGAAGAACACCGAUGGCGAAGGCAGCUCCCUGGGUUGACACUGACGCUCAUGCACGAAAGCGUGGGGAGCAAACA
rnacentral:rRNA from 2 species